rnacentral:lncRNA from 1 species
CUUGAUAUUAGUCCAAGCUGUACGUGAGGUGCAUCAUCACGGAUUAGCGUUUGGAGACUCGAGGUAGAUCUGUUGGUGUCCUCAGACCUUGAAGUCCCCUUCCACUUUCUCUAUUUACUGAUCUUUUCAUUCGAGAAAGUUGUGCUUAUUUCAUAUCCUAUUUGUAGAGACUUUAAAAGCUCGUGUACUUAUGACUCCGGAUUUCGGCUGUAGUUGGAUGUUAUUGGUUAUUAUGCCACUUCGUACUUUGUUUUAGUUUCAUUUCGAUUUAAUUAGUUUUACUUAUUGAAUUGAUUAAAAUUGUCUUGAAGAUUCUCUAACGUUGUUUUGCCUGGGAAGUGAAAUGUUA